AGGAGAGGUGGCUGAGUGGUUUAAAGCGGCAGAUUGCUAAUCUGCUGUGCGAAAAUCUUCGUACCGAGGGUUCGAAUCCCUCUCUCUCCUU
rnacentral:tRNA from 1 species